rnacentral:rRNA from 1 species
CCUACGGGGCGCAGCAGUGGGGAAUAUUGGACAAUGGGCGAAAGCCUGAUCCAGCCAUGCCGCGUGUGUGAAGAAGGCCUUCGGGUUGUAAAGCACUUUCAGUGGGGAAGAAAGCCUUGGGGCUAAUACCCUCGAGGAAGGACAUCACCCACAGAAGAAGCACCGGCUAACUCCGUGCCAGCAGCCGCGGUAAUACGGAGGGUGCGAGCGUUAAUCGGAAUUACUGGGCGUAAAGCGCGCGUAGGCGGUCUGAUAAGCCGGUUGUGAAAGCCCCGGGCGCAACCUGGGAACGGCAUCCGGAACUGUCAGGCUAGAGUGCAGGAGAGGAAGGUAGAAUUCCCGGUGUAGCGGUGAAAUGCGUAGAGAUCGGGAGGAAUACCAGUGGCGAAGGCGGCCUUCUGGACUGACACUGACGCUGAGGUGCGAAAGCGUGGGUAGCAAACAGGAUUAGAUACCCUGGUAGUC